GCGUCGGUGGUGCAACGAUUUAGCACAUGCUCGUGUAAAGAGUGAGAAUCUGGGUUCAAAUCCCGGCUGACGCA